ACCCAACAAAAAACAACAAAGCAAAAAAUAGGAAAACAAAGGCAGCUGACUGCAUGCCAACUUUGGAAGUUAAAAACUCUGAUUUGUAGUUUGGGUGUAUUCCAAAUUUAUCAAAGCCAUGCCUUCAUUCUAGUUAUAAGCUCCACUAAAAACCAAACUCCUCUACAUAAAACUGACUUUUGACUUCCUAAUUUAAUAGCAACAGCAGCUUUUCUGAAAUGAUAGUUUCUGUUAAUGAUGAGUUAAAAAUUAAAAUUCAAACCUUAUCCUGCAAGAGGGAGCAGUUUCACACAUUUUUAGACUGCUUAUGGUAACAUGGAGGAGGGGUACUGCAAAAUCACCCCACAAAAUAUCAGAUUAAGAUGCCCUAGUAAUUCAAAAUUUAGGGAUGCCUGUGCUCCCUACCUGGUGUGCCCCUUCUGGUCUGGAAGCCAGCAAAAGCUCUUGUGAAAUUUGAGUGCAGAGUCUCCAGGCCCAGCCUGAGCUUUGCACUCGGGGUAUUGGGCUUUGACAGCCCCAUGGCAUUUUGGUUUUACAUAAUCAGCUCUUUUUGUUAUAAGCUGUGGGCUUCAGAUGAAAAACAAUUUGAGGCGGAAGCAGCACCCUGGGCACAGACCAAGACAGAAAACAUUCAGAAAAAACAAAUAUUUCUUAUUUCUUGUAAUCACCCGUGUUACAGCAAUCCAGUGUUGACUGGUGUUUGCUGACAACUUGCUUUGCAGGAAACACAAAGUGAAAGAGACAGGAAGAGAGGGUUUUUCUGCAUUUCUGAUAAACCUGUAGUUAUGUCCUUCGAUGACAGAUUUGCCAACAGCAAGAAGUAAGACAUAUCUCAGUCUGAAGUGUCUGGAAGCAAACUCACACAUGCCUUCACUGUACUGCUUUUGUUUGCAGAACCUUUCCAUCUGGAUGAGUAGCAGGAAUAGGAAAGCAUUUGAAGCUAGGAAAACCCCCAUACUCCUGUCUAUAAAGCACUGAUAGGAUUUUUAUGUGGAGCUCUAAAGAGAAUGACAUGCAGUGCUUGUUUGGAUUUAUUUUUUCUUUUUGCCAGGUUGGAGAGCUCAGAUGUUUGCAAGCAAAACAAAAUAAACUCAUGCAUUGAAACUCCUUCCUGAAAUGUGUCUGGUGGCUGAUGCCAUGGCACGUCCCCCAGCACAUGCAUUGUGCACCCUUGGGCUGUCCUGGGCACUGCUGGGACACAGCUAAUGGCACCCAUGGCAUAAAAAGGAAGGUAAUUAGCAGAGAAUGAUUAUUGCUGCAGCUAGAAAAUAGACAAGUAAUCUUUUUGGGGUUUCAGUCCAUUGCCUCAGUGUUUUCAAACCAGCACCUAAUCUUCCCAGACCCCACUCUGUGUCUGUUUCUUUCUUCCUUUCAUUUCUUUCCCCCCCUUUUUGCAGGGACUGUGGCUGAUUCUGAUUCACUCCAUUUCUUUCUUCUCAAGCAGCCACAGGGCAGGCUCUCUGUUGCCAGGGAUAUGGCCAAUGCAUGUGACAUCCUGCCACCAAAAACAAUCCCGUUUAUUUCUGGUGCGAUGCUGCUGAAAUCAGCACAGCCAGGCUGGGAGCAGGACACCUCAGUCAGCCACAAAGUUUUGUGAGAAGAAUUUUCCUUAAAGGAAGUGUUCUUAAAAAAUAGCUCUCAGGGAGAAAUGUGCAGGUUUUGCUCGUAAAGUGGUCAUUGGCAAAGGUUUCCUUCCCAAAGUCCAGUCAGAGUAUCAGUGAGGGAUGGUAAACACAUGCCAUUUUGACACGAAAUUAGUAGGCUGUGUAGCACUGUGGAAAAUAUUAGACUUUCUUCUUCCUCUGACCUCGAAGAGCCUGUUAGGAGAUUAAGAAUAUCCAGCUCUCAAAGGUAUAGCUGUUUUACCAAAAUUCAGUUAAUGAAGAAUAAUAUUUUGGGAACAAGAGAAAACACCUCUGUAGCACGCGGAGUGCUAGGAAUAGAUGGAAAGUUGCCUGUAUAAACAGUUCAGCAACUCUGGGAUGAAUUAUAGGAGCAUUUGUAUGCAUGAUUGCCCAUCUGAGUAAAACAAGACGUGCAGUCACACACAGGAAUGAUGUGCAGGGCAGACCUCUGGGACUGUUAUUAACUUGCUCCAGGACAAGACCUGUCUCUUCACAUCCAAGUGUGACCCAAGGAAGUUGAGAUAAAUCUAUAUAAGUAAAUAAAUAUAGGAGGUGGCCUCGCUGGGAGGAAACUCAAGGUAUGCUAUCUACAUCUGUGUUUCUGGGUUUGGGGUUUAUUUUGACUCAAGUCAGAUUUUGGUCUGUUACUUCUCCACUUGAAGUUUUUCUGGCAGUUCCAGGAGGGCUGAAGGCUCAGAUCCAGCGGGUUCCUUCCAGCUGCACAUCCCAGCACAGGCCAUGGGCACUGGCAAGGUCUGGGGAGCUGCAGGGCUUCAAACCAGGGAUGCUGUCAGAAACUCUGCCUUGCACAGUUCCCCUCUCAAGUACCAGCUGCAAAAUGUCAACAGCACCUUCCUCAGAGAACACAAUUAAUUAAACGAGGCCUAAUUAAUUAGUGUCAGGAAAGCAGAUGUAGCGAUUAUGGCAGAAGUAAACAAAUGUACAUAUUGUGAAUUGUUCUGCAAAGGAUUUGUUCUGGAAUCCCUGUGGCCCUUUCACUCCUCCCCACGAUGCUAUUGGGAAGGCCAUCAGGGAAAAUGUAGAGAUAAAUUGCAAAUUGAUGAGGAACUAAUGCACUUGUAUAAGUUUAUAUCUCAGGAAAACAAUCAGCAAACAGACUCCUUUAUUAACCCCUUGGGACUUGGGGAUGAAAUACAAUCCCGAUAUUUAAUUUCCAGAUCAUGCAAGCAUCAUGUGCCACAAGUAAGUCAACUGUUUAAAGUUCGUUUAAUGUGGGUGUGAAAAAGCAGAUGUGGAGUCACACCAGUGUGGUGUUUGAGUGGAGCCUUUAGACUUUAUAAAGAAUCUGCACUGAACAAGAAUACUUCAAGCUCAAUAUAACAGGCACUGGAAUAGUGAAGCACACUUGGAAAACUCAGAAAAAUUUCAGAGUUGCCUUUCAAAAUUUCUUCAAGACGAUAAAGAGAACAAAUUAGGCUGGUUAGGGAUGUAGCUGUAGAAGCAAAUGGGACUCAUGUACUGGAAGAAGCAGUCAAGAUGUUAAGAAACCAGGUGUACUGUGUGUGAAAGAAAAUGCAUUGCACAGCCUGUGUGCACAGUGUGGGCAACAGCCUCAUAGGCAGCUAGGAAAAAGCACUUUCUAGAUCUCAACAGAGAUUUUUUCCCUUCACUUGGUGCUCUUUUUUGCUCUGCAGGUAAUGCUGGCUUUGGUGCAGAGAGGAUGGGAGGUCGGAUGUACUUUACGGUAGAGUCAGCUCACUGGUUCAUAUCGUGGAGAAGCUGUGAAGGUGGAAAAUACCCCCUUGCCUUGGUGACUGCAUUUCCCAUGCAAAGGACUGCCAAGUAACAGCUGUUCAUGAAUGCUGCUCCCCACCAUGGCUAAUCCAGCAGCAAGCCCUCCGAGGACACCAGUGACUCUGGCUGAUGCUCUCCUGUCCCAUCCUCAGCACGUGAGGCCUUAAAAAUUCUUCAGACUUAGAUGAGGUAGAGCAUGGGUAUUACUGGGCAUUUCUGCUGUAAGAGAAAGAAAUCUCCUUUUGCUUUUACGAUUGUUUAUCCCAAGUUAUAGGCUGAUCCAAGGAAGUUUGGCUGCUCUGUCAGUUAGGAACUGCUCCCUUUCCACUCAUUACUUUUUGUGCCAGUAAAAUGUUUGUGUGACAAGUGAAAAAAAGCCCUGUGCACCAAGGUCGGGGUGCAGUGUCUCUCUCUCUGUAGAGAUCAGCUUGCAUUGCCAUGUUUGUGGAUGACAGCCAUAUGAAAGACCUUGCAGACAUACUGUGAGGAUACAAUUUUUAAUUAAAAAUUAAAAUGUGCUGUUGUCACAUUAUUAAACAAAUUGAAUUUUUAAAUUUUUGCAGAGUAGCCAAAAUUAUUUUUUGGUGCAGUGUUUCUAGGACCUGCUGUGAUGAGUAAAUGCUGGAUUGCAUAGACAGUCAUUCAGAGUAAAGACUGUGGGAUUAGAUGAGGGAAAAUUCAAGAACUUGAUUUGUGUAACACUCAGCCACCUCAGACUGUGUGGUCUUUUACCAUCCAAGACAAAGGUGUGGACACGUGCUAGUCAUCACCCUAUUCUCUGAAAACUGGUGUUUCUGCAUGAAAGAAGGAACAGGAGCAGAGAAGCAGUGAGGGAGGAAAUGCUCCCUCUCCAGUCUGUUGGGACUGAGCGUGGCAAGCUGAGGGGGAACAGGGCAGGCUGAACCUGACCUAGGGCUGUGCAAACAAAUCCGUCUCCUGUGUUUGCCUCCCUCUGAACCAGGGGCACAGAACCUCUGCAGCUCUGCAGGUAGCAGGAUUGCUUCAAAAAUAUGUGGUGGCAAUUCCAGUUUUCCUUUGUAACACAGAGUAUUGGAGCCCUGGAUUUUGUCCAGCCACUCAGGCCAAGGCACUCAGUUGCCUGUCUUUAGCUCCCUGGCACCAGUCAUGGGGCAGUGCUGACAGAUUCUUCAAAGUCUUGUGGUUUGGGUCUCUUCAGGGAAAAAAAAGUGCAUCUUGCCACUCAGCAGAUAUGCUGGAGGGCUCAAAAAAUAGACAUGGAAAAGCACUGGCCAUGCUACUGUCCUGGCUCUUCACCGAUUAUUGACUUUCCCAUUCCUUGGGUCAAACUGCUGCUACUUCACAGUGCACUUCAUCUUCUGGGAUGAGGUUGGUGCCAUUAGUCAUCUGUAUUUCCUUUUGUAUUUGUUGGGUUUUUUAUAGUCUGGAAAGAUUGUCCCGUAUAAUUUUUUAUUUUACUGGGCUGCUUCCACUUGCAUGGUAACUCCCUUCCAAUAUUUCCCAUUGUGGCUCAGAAUGGCUGGGGGGCAGCACCAGGAUCUCAGUGGAGCUCUGCAGCACAGGUUCACCUGAGAUGUCUGAUCCAGCAAAACUCUACAUCAGCCUGGGACACAAGAUAAAUUAUUGCAAUGGAAACUGAAUCUUUCAUUUGCUCUUUGUAUUUUCUGCCCUUGCUUUGGGUUUGUUUUCUCCUCUUUUCUUCCCCUGCAAUUGUCAAGGCAGCAUCUGGGAGUUUUAUGAAACAAAUGUUACCCAUUAAAAGCCCAUCACUGCCUGCCAGAAAGGAAAAUGGCAUCUUAUUGAAAACAAUAUGUAAUGGUUAUUGCUGUCUUGUUGCAAGUUAUGCCCUUGAAAAAUGUUAGGGACACAUUUAAUAGCAGCCGAUGGUGAAGAAAAGCCCAACUAAAGAGAAAAUUAACUGUUGCAUUAUCUUUUACACAGCUUCAAACACCAUCAUACAAAUGCUGGUCUGUUGUGUUCAUAGCUGUGUUUACAGUUGCUUCAAGGACAAGGAACAACACUUUUCCAUGAUGCUUUUGUUGCCUCAGUGUUGGAGUUGCAAAUAAUUCCUCUCUGGUUUCUCGUACUGGCCUUGCAGCAGCAAUGGAGACUCGGGUCCUGACCAGGAGAGCACAACUGCAGCCACGUGAGUAAGAAACUCCCUGCAGACACAGCACCCCUUGGGCACUGCCUGGGGACACUGUGCCUCCAAGGACACUUUUUACCUUAAGUUGGCACCCUCAGCAGCUGGCACAGGCCAAGCUGCUGAUUCACUCACAGGCUGUUAAAGCUUUUUUUACUGUUUCCAUCUUAAUCUAUUUU